GAUGUUGAAUGAGCCUGAGGCAUCCCUAGCAAGUAAAGGAUUACUCUGCUACUGAGGAAUGAUUUGAAAUCUAACAUGACCACAUCCAUUGAGAAUAAUGGUGCUUUGUUAAUGGGAAAAAGUAUAUGCUGCCAAACAAACCUAGCUUGGUGUAAGAAUAUGUGAAAAACUUUAAAAAUAAAGCUUGUUUGGAAAGACAGCUGAUCAUUAAUCCCUGCAUCUGAGAUGUCUGGAGCAUCCUCACAUGGCUGGCCAGUACAGUGCAGGGCCUACUGCAGGUCCACAGCUUUCAGAAGCACCACCUAGAGACCCAGUAUACUGCCAUGGGGCACACCAAGUGUACCUAAUCUAAUACAUGGCCUCAGUCUUCCUGUUGACGAUCAUUUAUGCACAGGGAACCCUGUGCUUUCCUUGUCCAUAAACCUCAGAGGCUCUGAAACACUAAUUGCUGUAUUUUAUUUAUCUCCAGCCUGCCUAGCGUUUGUUAAUUGACCUGGUAUGGAGUAAAAUCCUGGCAUUUCUUCCUUCCCAAAGGAUCCUGUGAGUUAGAUGGAAGACAAAUGAAUUUGCUUUGUCUUCAAAUGCUGGUGACAGGGAAGAGACCUCAUCUGAAAUGUUGCUCUGUCUGAUGUGGAGAACUUUGAUCCAAAUUUCUCCUGAGGAUCUGGUUGUCUCACCAGGAAUAAAACGCAAGGGAAAACGGCUUUGCUUUAUUUGGUUGUUUUAACUGCAUCAUCUCCGUUAUUGUGAUGGGAAGGUGAUACAAGAAAGGGUAGAAUGAAAAAAAGUGGAGCCAUUUUUGCUGUGAGAAGAGAGGUAUGUUGGAAUCAUGUCUUCAUUCAGUUUGCAGCUCUUUUUACUUUGGCAAUGCUGAGCCAAAGAUUUAUCUCAGUCAGGAACUUAUUAAGACUCCAGCACACUGUAAUUUCAAAUAGUUUCCCUCUGGCUGUGAUUCAAUAUUUAUUGUGGCCUUGUUAUCAAUACAGCUUAAGGAGGUCCUACCCUUCUCUUGGGUGGACACAGCUGAGAAAUGGGUCAGGAAAAAAAAAACAGUGUUGAAAACAGCCUCUGCUUGCAAGAAACCUUGCUUGAGCAACCUGGUCUAGUGGGAGGUAUCCCUGCCCAUGGCAGGAGGGGUUGGAACUAGAUAAUCUUAAGGUCCUUUCCAACCCAAACUAUUCUAUGAUUCUAUGAAACAGGCGUGCGUAGUAGAAUAAGAGGGAGUGAGGGGUAGUAGGCAGGAGCUUAUUGAGAAGUUAUUGCUGCCAAAGCUCCCAUACAAUCAAACUAUAGCCUCAGAUACUGUGGAUUGCCAGGUAUCAGGGUACAGCUUGAAACUUCUUUUAUCAGUGCACAACAAAUCCAGGGAAUGCUGCUAGUCCUGGGGGUGAAGAGCUGA